rnacentral:rRNA from 1 species
UUCCGGUUGAUCCUGCCGGACCCCACUGCUAUCGAGGUGGGACUAAGCCAUGCUAGUCGAACGAACAGAACUAUGUCUGUAAGUGGCAUACUGCUCAGUAACACGUAGCUAACCUACCCUUAGGACGUUGAUAACCCCGAGAAAUUGGGGCUAAUAGGCGAUAGGUGUGAUGUCCUGGAAUGGUAUCACGCCCAAAGGUAUCCCAUACAUGUUUGGUAUACGCCUAAGGAUGGGGCUGCGGCCGAUCAGGCAGUUGGUGAGGUAAUGGCUCACCAAACCUUUGACCGGUACGGGCCAUGAGAGUGGUAGCCCGGAGAUGGACACUGAGACAAGGGUCCAGGCCCUACGGGGCGCAGCAGGCGCGAAACCUCCUCAAUGCACUAACGUGCGAAGGGGUUACCUCGAGUGCCACCUGAAGAAGGUGGCUUUUCCUUGGUCUAAAAAGCCUCGGGAAUAAGAGGGGGGCAAGACUGGUGUCAGCCGCCGCGGUAACACCAGCCCCUCGAGUGGUGGGGAUGAUUAUUUGGCCUAAAGCGUCCGUAGCCGGCCGGGUAAGUCUCCCGUUAAAUCCAGCGUCUCAAGCGUUGGACUGCGGGAGAUACUGCCUGGCUAGAGAGUGGGAGAGGUCAGCGGUAUUCUGGGGGUAGGGGCGAAAUCCUUUGAUCCCCGGAGGACCACCAGUGGCGAAGGCUGCUGACUAGAACACGUCUGACGGUCAGGGACGAAAGCUGGGGUAGCGAACCGGAUUAGAUACCCGGGUAGUCCCAGCCGCAAACGAUGCAUGCUAGGUGUUGGGUUGGCCACGAG